AUUUUUUGGGCGAGAUGAAUCUUUUAAGUUACGCUCAUAUGUCAAAACGUUCUGAAAACGUAUAACAUCGAAAAUGUCAAGCUUCACGAUGGAGCUGUCAGGGUUAUCCAAUCCCGAAAUAUAAAAGGCAACCCUCGUACUGGUGAAUUUAAUUUAAUUUAUUUCAUAAUCUGUUAGCCAAAUUAAAAUUGUCCAAUUCGAUUAUAUAGUCCAACAAUAUGAGCCAUUAUCACAACAAUAGUUAUUAUUAAUAUUUCAGGAAUAAAUUUUAAUUAUUAAAUACUUUAUAAAUAAUUAAAGGUAAAAAUUUUAACACGAACAUGGAGUAGAAAAAACUAGCUUAGCAGCGCGAUACAAACAAAACAAAAAUUCUUAUAAAUCUGGUGAUACUAAUUCCUUUAAUUUGAUACAUGACGAAGAAAAUUGUCUGAAUUCAUAAUCUAUUCGGUUGUUCAAAACUUUAUUUAUCGAAUUUGAAACGAACGUUGCAUAAUUAGAGUACGAAAUGUGGGUAAAUGUAACGAACAAGUUCUCUGAGAGACGCCAAAUUCGAGUUUCGAAAAGAGGUCAACAAAAUUAUCGAAGGAGUUGCCUAAGAACUCAACCGUCAGUGGUGAAAUAUGGUCAGAAGAUCUCAACUUUUAGACGUAUCUAACGGUGCGGUUGACACAUGUUUUAAGACGGUUUAUGCUACCUAUUCCAGUGCCGGAGUACACUUCUAUACUAUAAGUAAUAUGAGGCAACAGUAAUGACUUCGCUAUGUGCCUUUAAAUGCCCAAGGGCAGAAAGUAUGCCGUAUUAUACAGGAACGUAGCCAGGAGUGAUAAAUUUUCGAAAGACAAACUUUUGCCCCGCCUACCCCGAAAUUAUUUUAUAAAGCCAAAAUUUCAAUAAAAUUUAUUGAGCCUGAUCAAUGCAUUUUACGACACUACAUGUUAAAAUUUUUUAUGCUUUUAUGUCCCUAAUAAAAACAACAACAAAAUGAAAAAUCACUAGAGAAAUAAAAGUAUUGGUUGAAAUCUCUAAUGAAAAGUACUAAAUUAUUUGAAAGUAUCUUAAACCUGUUCUUAAAUAAUGAUGUUUUAAACCCAAUUGUAAUGGGAGACUUAAAUGCCAGAAUUGGAGAGUUUAUAAAGGAGAUUGGUGAUAUAUUUAUUUUAACAUUUCAAUCGG
rnacentral:sRNA from 1 species